CCCCUAGACGUUCUGGGCUGCACGCGCGCUACAAUAAUACGCACAGCGAGUAUCACCGAGCUCGAAAGGGCAAGGUAAACAAUAGAAAAGGUACUGUAAUGGUUAUAGAUCCUUGUAAUUAUUGAUCUUCAACGAGGAAUUCCUAGUAAGUAUGUGUCAUCAUCACGCACUGAUUACGUCCCUGCCCUUUGUACACACCGCCCGUCGCUCCUACCGAUUGAGUGCUCAGGUGAGCCAUUCGGACUUUCAUCAUGCUGGUUUCCAGUUUUGAUGAAGGAAAGUCUUGCGAACCUUAUCAUUUAGAGGAAGGAGAAGUCGUAACA
rnacentral:rRNA from 1 species